GACGUAGGAGGCAAGCGUUAUCCGGAUUUACUGGGCGUAAAGCGCGUGCAGGCGGUUUGGAAAGUUGGAUGUGAAAGCUCCUGGCUCAACUAGGAGAGGUCGUUCAAAACUUCCAGACUUGAGGGCAGUAGAGGGAGGUGGAAUUCCGUGUGUAGUGGUGAAAUGCGUAGAUAUACGGAGGAACACCAGUGGCGAAAGCGACCUCCUGGGCUGCAUCUGACGCUCAGACGCGAAAGCUAGGGGAGCAAACGGG
rnacentral:rRNA from 1 species